AUUGAACGCUGGCGGCAGGCCUAACACAUGCAAGUCGAACGAGUGGCGGACGGGUGAGUAAUGCUUGGGAAUCUAGCUUCUGGAGGGGGAUAACUACGGGAAACUGUAGCUAAUACCGCGUACCAUAGGAUGAGCCCAAGUGGGAUUAGGUAGUUGGUGGGGUAAAGGCUCACCAAGCCGACGGUCCCUAGCUGGUCGGAGGGGAGGACCAGCCACACUGGAACUGAGAACCGGCCCAGACUCCUACGGGAGGCAGCAGUGGGGAAUAUUGGGCAAUGGGGGCAACCUGACGCAGCCAUGCCGCGUGAAUGAAGAAGGCCUUCGGGUUUUAAAGUUCUUUCGGUAGCGAGGCGUUAACUACAGAAGAAGCACCGGCUAACUACGUGCCAGCAGCCGCGGUAAUAC
rnacentral:rRNA from 1 species